AAGCGCAAGUGGGUUUUUGUGAUAUCACGCACGCAUGACGCCAGUCGAGUCAGCGGAGGUUCUUCUGCGGCACGUCUCCGUCCUAUUAUACAAAAUUGACUAUGAAAUUGAUAGAAUACAAAUGGAUUUAUAUGAUAUUGUGCGUCCUUGUUAAAUGGGACAUGCCAUCCAAUUUGAUACAUCUGCUCUACAGCGCUUGAAGAACAUUUAAAUGAGUCAUUGGGGUUGAGCGACAAGAAUAACUGUAGGUUAUUUGCACAGCGAGGAAAAUUGAUGUUGCAUUUUCAACAUUCACAGAACCAAGAGGUAGCGUGUGUAUAGAUAGAAAACUAAAUUGGCCCAAAUAGUGAUCCUUGCGGACGCCGUAGUUUAUUGUUGAAGAGGAGGACAUCUCAUCUCCAUCAUACACUACAAAUCUUCCAUUCGACAAACAGGAAACAACCCCAUUUAAAUCAUCCCAGAUAUUCCCAUCCAUCACUUCCAUCUCCGUCUUUAACCGAGGGGUGCGAGCGCAACUAUCUGAGUGAUUCAUUGAGUUGGUUUGGUUGUUGUUUGUCUGCAGAGGAUGUUUAAAGGUUUGUGUUCUCAGAUGAUGGUGUGAUUGAGCUUGAAGAUUAUUUGGUACAUGUGUUCUUCAGAUGCAUCGACUCAAAUCCCUGUUUCCACGGAGCCGCAGCAUUAAUCACAUCAGUGCUGUUUAUUGUCCCAGUUGCGUCUUUUUCGGAAGUCGGGACACUUUCUCAUCGUCUGUGUUAGUUGUGCAUUUGUUAAUACUUCACAUGACUCCGCAGCCAAGUCAGUGUAAACGUCUCAGACGCUAGUUUGCUAUCGCUCAGGCGGCGAGAGGAAGUGUCCCUCUAGUGGCCGUUUUAUAGUACUGCAUGCUUGCUCCAUCAACCAGUCUCCAAAACAAGCUGAAUAUUUACAUAUAUUAGUGAAUACGUUUUAAGAUCUCUUAUUUUAGUUUGACAUCAUCAAAAUCGACAUAAAAGCACAAUUGACCGUUUAUAUCCUUAACACACAUUUCUGGUUCUGCGAAUGAUUCGUCCACAGCCGGGUCUGUACAUUACGUUUAUGUUGGCGUAGUCAGAGUCACGAUUGAACUUUAUGAUGAGUGUAAACUACACCCCUUCCAUUUCCCCACUGACCCUAAUUUAUAGCAAACAAGUGUCACCUGAUGACAGGUGGGCGUGGCUGAGCCGUCAGGGGCAGGAACCAUUAAUCACCAGAUGAGCUUAAAGUGACCACGAUGCAUUUUCAUGUGUUUCUGUUUGUUAGGGUUUCCCAGGAGACAUCGGUGCGCCAGGGUCAAACGGCCCCCCAGGACCAAAGGGUCUACAAGGAGCCAGGGGCCCCCAGGGACCAUCUGGGCCAAAAGGAACGGAGGGAGACGACGGCCCCCCGGGCCCACCUGGACAGCCUGGUCC